UAGCACGGGGUAGCUGCGAGUCUGCUCCGGAGAGCCUGGUCGCGGUUGCUGGACCAUCAUCGAGCUAGUUAAUUCGGAAUGAACAACUAGUCGUGAGGCUGUGAGGCUAGUAUUCGGGUUGGGGUUAGGUGCGUGGGAUUUUCUUCUCCCUAAAGGGUAAGGGACACUUAGCUGUGUUCUCUUUCGACGGUUGGGCGACACGUGUUGUUUUCGGACUACGCUGGGCACUAGAGACACGUCUGCACGCUUCGGCACUCCACAGCGAACUGAGCCCAAGCUCACUAUCAUAAAUCUGGAACAAAUACAAUCGGAUUGAAUGGCGGCAAUCGCUUAAUUACGGCUAUGGUAGAAUCUAGAUUAAAGUGUUAAGGGACUUUCCCAAAAUUCCAAAGGAGAGGCUCCGGUGUCCUUUCAUCUCUGAUAUAUAUAUAUAUAUGCUCAGAUUUCAGAGCUUAGUUUUAGGAGUAAUGUAAUAUCGUAAGGUAGUUCGAAUUAGAAAUCAGUUGAAAAUAGAUAAAACCGAGUACGUCGUCUUUCUGUGGUUCGUUUACAUUUAAGAGUGCCUGCGUGACUAAAGGCACGUAGUUGGUAGUUCUUACAUAGGUAUGAGGGAAACAAUAGACAACGUUAGAAGAAGGACGGUUUCGCUAUCCAAGGCGGGACGACCGAAAGAUCAGAGUGUGCGAGUCGAAAAGUGUGCGUGUUGCGAGAAUCAGAGCUAAUUGAGUCGUCGAAGAGUAGAGUCGUUAGAGGUAAUCGAGUCGUCGAAGAGUAGAGUCGUGAGAAUUGAUAGAGUUGUUAGAGAGAGAGAGUGUGUGUGUGUGUGUUAGAUUCGUUGUGACGAGGGUGGUCAAAUAACUGUAAAGUUAUUUGAUAUAGAUACGAGUAUUGCAUUUAGUUUCCGUUAAAUAAACAUCGUUUUCUGUCCAAUUUAUAUUUGUAUAUUCAAUUUAAUAUUAAUAAAUUGUAAGUAAUCGGAAAAAAAAUUCUAUCCUUAUUUCCACGAUAUUACAGUAAUAUAUUGUAUUUCCCAGAUUACUUUCAUUAAUAUUCGUCUUAAGACAUUAAUAACACUCAAUUUUAAUUUUAUCAAAGCAAAAUAAAUAUUUUUGUUUAAUUAAAACUCUACUCCUAAAAAAAUAAAACUUUUCUAUUUAUGCAAAAUUGCAUGCAAUAAAAGUUUCAAUGAAUACACUUCGUUUUGUAACUGUUUUCUUCAAUCAGAAAAGAUAACGGCCAAAAAAUUAUUGUUAUUCCACAACUAAUUGGAAAUUUUGACAGUUUAAUUCGAUCAUUGGAUCGAUUACACGUACGGUGAUUUUUCAAAUUCGGAAUCAGUUACAGACCUAACUGAAGAGUUAAGCCCUGCGAUGUGUAGUUGGUCCAGGGACAGUGUGGCAAAUCUAUUCGUUCAACGCUGAUUGGUUCCGCCAUUUAUAAAAGCGCUUCCUGCAGCAGUUAUGUAUAGAUUGGUAUAAAUAUAAAUGUAUGAAGUAUACGUUUACAAAGUUGUCUGUAAACAAAGUGUAAUAAUAUUUACCGUGUAUUGGAGUGUAUAUAACGACGGAAAUAAAGAAUAAUAAGAAAAAUCAUCAUAGAGAACAUACAGAAUUAACAUUUAAGUUUGGAACGUUAGUUCAAAUGCCUGAUUACUCAGCCAAGGGAUGCAGAAACAAGUCAAAGAGUGGCCAUAGUUGUACACACAGGUCUGUUAACUGCUGUAAAGGAGAUAAGGUUCUUAAUGUCGCAAGAUGUACUUUACCAAUCGGCCACCAUUGAACACUGCGAUCGAGUAGCUAGGGUUUUGUGUUUGGCGCCAUUCUUCGGUGAAAGCACUAAAGCAGAUACAUCUACAAUACUCCAUUUAUUACAGAAAGCAUUGUUUAAAUGAAUAUUAAUUAUGAACCAUUAUUAAACAUGCAUUAUUAUUACCAACAAACAAGUUUAACAAGACCACAAUUUUCAAAUUAAAUAUGUACACAUAUCUUUAAUGCUUUUACAUUUGACGCAUAUAUUGGAAAACGUAGCAGUAUAUGCACCACUGCGAACAGGCAGUACAUUGACAGAGAUUAUAGAAGUAGCAUUGGCAACUACUACUUAUGAACCAAAUAACAGGCAAACAAAAAUAAUUCCGCAAGACUUUCUUGACAAAAUCAGAGGAAAAAAGAUUCACUUUCUGCGUACGAGAAUUCCAACUAUUUCCUAUGGAAAGCCACGAACAAAAUAAAGGAGCCAAUUAAACUAAUCCCAGCAAUCAGAUUAACGGACAACACAUGAGCCAGAAGCAACGAAGAGCAAGCUGAAGAAUUUUCCAACCACCUUUGUUGAAGUUAUCUCUUCGAGGAACGCGUGAUGAAUGUGUAACAGAAAUAUAUUUAAGUAUAAGUGUAACUCGUUACAUUACAACAGAGCUUCGAAGCCAUGAGUCUAUGGGUAUUUAUAUAAUUACGAAAACUGGCCGGUCUAUAUAUACCCUGCUGCACCAUCUGUGCAUGGCAUAUUCCUAAAAAAGGCUAUGAGACUGAGAGGCCCUUCAAAUUGAUUUAGAGCUAAACAAUACUCAAUAGCAUCGGGGACUAAGAGAACUAAACGCUAGAGAAGAUGUAGUUUUCCUAGAAACCUAAUUUUUGUCGUAAAUAUUGAAAUCUUGGUUUCGGUAACGCCUUCGUAAAUAUAUCUGCUUGUUACGUCCGGCGACUCUCUACACAAAGCAGACUCCACGCCACAACCAUACCGUCGACCGAUGGGUCCGCGGUAGAAAACGGUAACAAGGAAGAAUGGCCGCAGGAAAUCCCUGACUCCUAAAGCCGCGAGCAAGGUGGUUGGAGCGGAGGAAGCGGCGAUUGAAGCCAUGAACUUAGGUGAUUAAGAUUAAGGGUACGCACCCUCCAGAACAAUCUGGGACAGUCAAGACCUGCUUUUCCAAACCAUUCUGGAGAGCACGGUUGCCCUAGCGGUGGUGGCCGAGCCAUACAGAGUCCUGGACGCUCCGGACUGCGCCGGAGAUACAGACGGCUGUCACCUGGACAUCAGCGCCGGCAUCGUCCGCCCACAGGGAUCCUCUGGAGCGCGGCAACGGAUACGCAGCGGUCGAAUGGUCAGGAAUGGUGGUAGUGGCCGUGUAUGUGUCGCCCAACAGCGAAUGGACAGCGUUCGAGGAGUUCUUGAACGGGGUAGACGACUGCCAUUACGAUUACGAGAUAUAGUAUUACGUUAUAAUACAUUACAUUAUAACGUAUUCCGUUAAAUUGAAUUACGUUAUAUCAUAUUACGUUUUGCCGUUCCUUCACAUACUGAGCAGAAGGCGAACGUUACCAUGAUCGCGGACGGAUAUUAAGACAGGCGGAGUGGGGAUAUGGUAAGAAUAGAAAGGGAGGCAAGUGGAUCAACACAGCAGUUGCCCGUAACCAGUCGUCAGUAGGAAUCGCAACCAGAGAUUUCUGAAGAAGUCGCUGGUCAAGAAAGCAAACGAACUGCGGAACGAAGCGCCGCGUAUUAAGUUGGCAGCCUUCACGUAAUAGAGUACAUUCAGUAAUAUAGUAUUACGUUAUAUAUUAUAACGCUAUAACGCAUUACGUUAUAAAGUAUAGCGUUAUAACGUACUACGUUAUAUAGUAUUACGUAAUAUGGAAAUAACGUAUUACGUUAUAUAGUAUAAGUAAAAUCCAAUGCAACCACAGCUAUCAAUAUUGAAGAUUAAAUAUGUAAUUGAACGAAUCUCCGCUUCCGUUGAGGAUAUGUAGACAAUUCGAUGCUCGUUAUACUCCACGUUUGAUGCCAAAUACAACGCACAUCAUCUGGUUUGCGCUAUGUCCACUCUUUUCCUGUCAAAUCCGAUGCAAUUAUAAUUUUUAAUGCUCAAGGCUAAAUAUUCAAUUCUACGAAUCUCCGCUGCUAUUGGACAAAUUUCGACAAUUCGAUACGCGUUGUACUCCACAUUUGCUGUUUUACACAGCGCACAUCAGUCGGUUUGCACUAUGUCAUCUCUUUUCCCUGUCAAAUCCGAUGCAGUUAGAAUUUUUAAUGCUCAAGGGGUAAAUAUUGAAUUCUACGAAUCUCCGCUACUACUCAGGAUACAGAGGCAGUUCGAUGCGCAUUGUACUCCGUAUUGGCUGCUUUAUACAGCGCACAUCAGCUGAUUUGCACUGUGUUAAUCCUGGACCCUGUCAAAUCCAAUGGAGUUAGAACUUUUAAUUCUCGAGGCUAAAUAUUGAUCUCCGCUGUUAUUAGGGAUACCUAGGCAUGUUGGGUCCCAAAGGUGCUAGUGGUAUCAUUGCACUGUUCACGCCCAGUAGUGCCAAGUGCCAACUCCUCCUCCAAGUCGGUGGGGCUGGUAAAUACUGACUUGUCAGUGGCUACGUGGAUGGCGACGUGGCUUAAGAACUCAUCCUGCCCGAGGAAGAGAACAUGCAUCAUGGCGUAAACAAUCACACGUCGCAGACCCGAUCGGGUGUCGUGGCGGGUUAAGCCUUUCGUUACUGGCGGCUUCUCCUGCGUCACAAGCGCUCUGCGCCAAAAAGAAAAAACUUUCCUCGAAACAGGGUAUUUAUAACUUCUUAACACACUCACUUUUAAUUGAAAUUUGGGUAGGCCUACUUUGGGGGGGGGGGGGGGGGACAAUCGUCUCCCCUAACGCCACAUUUAGUUAGUUAGUUCAUAGGAUAGGCCUAACGAGAAGACGCGGGGAGUGUACCGGCAGUAAUUUCCAAGAGGUCUCGGACACUGCUGCCAAACGUGUAGGUUGGCCACCGUGGAGUUUUUGUCAGUAGGAGUUUUGUCUGGCACUACUCCACUAAUUCUCCAGAAUGCAGCGGAGUGUCCAUGAGGAUUUCUCCACGUAGAAGAAAAAAAGAAAGAAGGUGUUGAAGCAUAUAAAUAGGUGAUAUAUCGUAUUUCAAUUCUUUGAAUUUUGUUUGAAUUAUUGUUAAUUACAAUCACAAUUUCUGAUAAUAUCAUGCACACGAUUAAGUGUAACCACGCUCUUAAUCGUCAUCGUUGUCAAUUACAAUUAUAAUUCCAAGUUUACUUACAUUCAUUUUAACGAAACCAAUGUUUAUUGCUAGAACACGCGCAUAUUCGUACAACGAUGUUAAAAAUCUGAGCGUAAUGGAAAUGUACGUACAGCAGAUACUCACAGGAAAAACCAACGAGACUAAUAAUAAAAUCAAUGAAUUAGAAAAAAAGAGCUAUAGACAAAUAUCUUAUAAUAUACCGUGGCAUAAUCUGCAAUUUAUUAUAAAAUAAUUGAUCCCAGCAGUAUCAAUUAUAAAAGAAGAUGGCUGAAUAUGAUAGACACUGUCGAAUACUAAUCAAAUAUAAUCAUUUAGUUAAUCUUUAAGAUUUAAGUUAAGAUACAUCUUUGAGGAAUCAAUAAGUCUUUCGCUAAUAGCCUAAUAGAUCCCUUGAUAGAUCAAACGAAGAAAUACCUAACCGCGAUUACAGCCAAUUGGUACAUAUUAUUCGAUACAUAAUUAAUAUCUGUAUCGCGUACAGCGAUGCAAGUGGUAUUGAAGAAAAUAGCCAUUUUAUGUUACAACUAUAACGAGUAAAUUUACUCGUUUAACUUGAGAGGAAUUAAAAAGGUACCUGACUUUUAAAUAAGCAUUAAAUAAGAAAUUUAAAUAUCGCAGACGGUGAUGUAGGUGUUAUUCAAGAAAAGAGAACAUUUUAUUUUGUAAUUAGCACGACUAAAUGAACGAAUAUCGAUAAUAUAAUAUAAUGAUUAAUAUGAA